AUAACAACACCUGAUCCUUAACCUGCUGUGCCAAAAGAGAACUCCAAUAUUUCAGGGGUUUGGUUUGUUUGUUUUACAAAUUGAAGGUUUGUGCAACUCUGCAUCUACCAAGUCUGUCAGCAUCAUUUUCCCAAAAAGGACCUACUGUUGGUUUCUGAUUUGCAACCAAGAACCCGGACUGAUAUAUUUAGCCUACGCCCGGUUCAAGAGAAGCUUAAGCUGCUGAGAUAGACAAACACCCAUUCUGCUCUUUUUCAUCUGCCAGAGAAGAAUUUGCUACAUAAACCUCCGUGGGUCACCUGCUGCAAUUUUUAGAAACCCAUAGACUCCUUGCACUAAUGCAUUCCCAGAGUCUCUUCACAAGGAAGGAUUUUAAACAGUUUUUUGUGUCUCCCUCCCUGCUCCGGGAGCCCUUGCUCCUCUGAGUGAGCUGUUUGUUUGAUUUGUCACCUGAACCACAUGACUGUGGAGAGACACAGCUCAGCAGCCAUAGCUGUAGCUCAGCCUCUCUACAGCUGACAGGAAAGAUAUGUGAAAUAAGACACACAGGGAUGGCAAUAAAAUCAAGAAGGCUGCAAGAUGAAAGCAGAUCACUCCCCAAACUCAUUUGUAUGGUGGAUUCAGGAAACUGUACCGCACUCAUCCAGAAGCUCAACCUGAACAAGUCACUGGCGUUUAGAGCCUGUCCCCUUUUCUCCUGAUGCUUCACUACAAGACACAGACUCUGUUUGCAUUUUCAAACAGUACCUCGCCUAAUAAAAAUACGAUGCUUAGCAACAGAAAUGGACUACAAGUAUAUUUAGCCGAAUGAAAGCUGUAUAAAAACACACCGGACGAUAUGAUGGACACGGUUGGCAAUUCCUCUCGUCCUUUUCUGACAGUAUCACCUGGUGGAUGUGCUGAUGUUGAAGAGCCGCCUCAGUGUGAGGUGAUUUGGUUUGUCAGGGGAACAAGAAGGCAGAGGCUCAGACAAGAAGGCUUCUCUCUCUUCCUUCUCCUCUGUUACCGGUUUGGAAUUUAUAGAAUUCCUGCCUACCUUAGGGACUCGCUCUACCUUUGAAUAUUAGAUCUUCAAUUUUGCUUUUGAAAUUAGAAUGAUUAUGGAAUCAGAAAAAUAAGGCAGCUGAGUGUUAUUGGGGACCUGGAAGAAGGGACCUAAGAGAACAAGUGGACUCUCCAAACAUCGGCAGUGACAGGCCGUGUGGAUCGUCUAUGCCCUUGAUAGGAUGUGAUUAGGGCAGGACUUGCCCUCUGUGUUUUCCCUCCCUCGAACCCAGAACCCCAGGCUAAGCGUGAGAAAAACAUCAAGCAAGUCUUAUUGGAGGAACAUUCUACUAAAUGCCUGGCCAGUAUUCCUCAGGUCAUCAAAAACAAAGAAAGCCUGGGGAAUGUCAGAGCCAGGAAGAACCUAAGGAGGCAUGACAAUAUCAUGUAAUGUCCUGGGCAGGACCUUGGAACAGAAAAAGGGCAUUCGGGGGAAACUGAAGAAAUCAGGAUAAACUAUGGACUUAGGUUUAUGAUAAUAUAUCAGUAUUGAUUCAUUGAUUAUAACAAAUCCCAUGUGGGAUGCUAACAAUAGGGGCAACUGGGCGUGAGGUAUAUGGAAACUCUGUACUAUCUUCGCAGUAAUUCUGCAAACCUUUUUUUUUUUUCUUUUCUUUUCUAGGGCUGCACCCACGGAAUGUGGAGGUUCCAGGCUAGGGGUCGAAUCAGAAUUGUAGCUGCUGGCCUACACCACAGCCACAGCAACGUGGGAUCCGAGCCUCAUCUGUGACCUACAUCACAGCUCACAGCAACGCCGGAUCCUCAACCUACUGAGCAAGGCCAGGGAUCAAACCUGCAACCUCAUGGUUCCUAGUUGGAUUUGUUAACCACUGAACCUCGACGGGAACUCCUAAUUCUGCAAACCUGGAACUGUUUUAAAAUGUAAAGCUGACUCACAGACAUGGAAAACAGACGUGUGGUCGCCAAGGGGGGGGGGGAGGGGAGGAAGUGGGAUGGACUGGAAAUUUGGGGUUAGUAGAUGCAAACUAUCACAUUUAGAAUGGAUAAGUCAUGAGGUCCUACUGUAUAGCACAGGGAACUAGAUCCAACCACUUGUGAUAGAAUAUGAGGAAAAAUAAUAUGAGAAAAAGAAUGUAUAUAUAUAUAUAUGUAUGACUGGAUCAUUUUGCUAUAAGGCAGAAAUUAACAGAACAUUACAAAUCAACUACAAUCUUUAACGAAAACACCACAAGCCUUUUAAAAUAUAAAGCUUUAUUAAAAAGAAAAAAGUAGGAGUUCCCUGUUGGCUCAGUAGGUUAAGCUAUCUGGUGUUGUCACUGCUGUGGCUCUCGUUACUAUUGUGGUAUGGAUUUGAUCCCUGACCUGGGAAUUUUGGAUACCACAAGCACAGUCCAAAAAAAAAAAAAAAAAAAA
rnacentral:lncRNA from 9 species